UAUGUACUCCUCCGUCCGAAAUUACUUGUCAUUGAAAUGGAUGAAAACAGAUGUAUCUAAAACUCAAAUACAUCUAGAUACAUCCAUAUCUAUGACAAGUAUUUCCGGACCGAGGGAGUAUAAU
rfam:Triticum urartu cultivar G1812 contig696539, whole genome shotgun sequence.